rnacentral:rRNA from 1 species
UACGAAGGGGGCUAGCGUUGCUCGGAAUCACUGGGCGUAAAGCGCACGUAGGCGGAUUGCUAAGUCAGGGGUGAAAUCCUGGAGCUCAACUCCAGAACUGCCUUUGAUACUGGCGACCUUGAGUCCGGGAGAGGUGAGUGGAACUGCGAGUGUAGAGGUGAAAUUCGUAGAUAUUCGCAAGAACACCAGUGGCGAAGGCGGCUCACUGGCCCGGUACUGACGCUGAGGAGCGAAAGCGUGGGGAGCAAACAGGG